UUGAACGCUGGUGGCAGGCCUAACACAUGCAAGUCGAGCGGAUGAAGGGAGCUUGCUCCUGGAUUCAGCGGCGGACGGGUGAGUAAUGCCUAGGAAUCUGCCUGGUAGUGGGGGAUAACGUCCGGAAACGGGCGCUAAUACCGCAUACGUCCUGAGGGAGAAAGUGGGGGGUCUUCGGACCUCACGCUAUCAGAUGAGCCUAGGUCGGAUUAGCUAGUUGGUGGGGUAAAGGCCUACCAAGGCGACGAUCCGUAACUGGUCUGAGAGGAUGAUCAGUCACACUGGAACUGAGACACGGUCCAGACUCCUACGGGAGGCAGCAGUGGGGAAUAUUGGACAAUGGGCGAAAGCCUGAUCCAGCCAUGCCGCGUGUGUGAAGAAGGUCUUCGGAUUGUAAAGCACUUUAAGUUGGGAGGAAGGGCAGUAAGUUAAUACCUUGCUGUUUUGACGUUACCAACAGAAUAAGCACCGGCUAACUUCGUG
rnacentral:rRNA from 1 species